GCGCCCGUAGCUCAAUUGGAUAGAGUGACGGACUUCGAAUCCGAAGGUUGCAGGUUCGAGUCCUGCCGGGCGCA
rnacentral:tRNA from 1 species